CUUUAAUUUAUAUACUAUGUUGUGCAAGUUUCGUUUUCUAGUAGCCGUAGUUGUCAUAUCGAAGCACCCCACUAAUUCCUAUGUCUACCAAACCUCUCUCUUUUCGCAGAAUGAGCCGCCAACACCAGCGGCACCAGCAGCAUCACCACCUGCCCCCGCACCAGCAACCGCAGCAGCAGAUGCCGCAACAGCAGCAGCAGCUGACGCCGCAGCAGCAGCAACAACAGCAGCUGCUGAUGGCGGAGCACGCAGCUGCCGCGGAGGCGGCGGAGCUGUUCGACCUGCUGUGCGUGGCCACAACGAUGCGUCAGAUCCUGGCGCUUCAUCGGGCCAUGUGCGAGGCUGUGGGAUUGAGACCCUCGCCUCUGAACGACUUCUACCCGCGGCUGAAGGCCAAGGUGCGUUCGUGGAAGGCGCAGGCCCUGUGGAAGAAGUUCGACGCCAGAGCUGCCCAUAGAGUCUACGGCAAGGGAGCUGCCUGUACUGGCACACGCGUGCUGGUAAUCGGAGCCGGGCCCUGUGGACUGCGUACCGCCAUCGAGGCCCAAUUGCUGGGCGCCAAGGUGGUGGUGCUGGAGAAACGCGAUCGCAUCACCCGCAACAAUGUGCUCCAUCUGUGGCCAUUCGUCAUCACGGAUCUGCGCAACUUGGGCGCGAAGAAGUUCUACGGCAAGUUCUGCGCCGGCUCCAUCGAUCACAUCUCCAUUCGGCAGCUGCAGUGCAUGCUGCUCAAGGUGGCGCUGCUCCUGGGCGUAGAGAUCCACGAGGGAGUCAGUUUCGAGCACGCUGUGGAGCCCUCUGGCGAUGGCGGCGGAUGGAGGGCAGCUGUUACUCCCGCCGAUCAUCCUGUAUCUCACUACGAAUUCGAUGUGCUGAUCGGAGCGGAUGGCAAGCGGAACAUGCUGGACUUUAGGAGGAAGGAGUUCCGCGGCAAGCUAGCCAUCGCUAUUACAGCGAACUUCAUUAACAAGAAGACAGAGGCGGAGGCUAAAGUGGAGGAGAUCAGUGGGGUGGCUUUCAUCUUCAACCAGGCCUUUUUCAAGGAGCUGUACGGGAAGACGGGCAUCGACCUGGAAAACAUCGUCUACUACAAGGACGAGACGCACUACUUCGUGAUGACGGCCAAGAAGCACAGUCUAAUUGACAAGGGCGUUAUUAUCGAGGAUAUGGCCGAUCCCGGCGAGCUUCUAGCCCCAGCCAAUGUGGAUACACAAAAGCUGCACGACUAUGCCCGCGAGGCUGCGGAGUUCUCAACCCAAUACCAAAUGCCAAACCUGGAGUUCGCUGUUAAUCACUACGGCAAACCAGACGUGGCCAUGUUCGACUUCACUUCGAUGUUUGCCGCCGAGAUGUCCUGCCGCGUGAUUGUGCGCAAAGGAGCUCGCCUGAUGCAGUGCCUCGUGGGUGACAGUCUGCUGGAGCCGUUUUGGCCCACUGGAUCGGGCUGUGCCCGUGGCUUCUUGUCCAGCAUGGACGCUGCCUAUGCCAUCAAGCUUUGGUCCAACCCGCAGAACAGCACACUUGGCGUUCUGGCGCAGCGCGAGAGCAUCUACCGGCUGCUUAACCAGACCACGCCGGACACCCUGCAGCGGGACAUCAGCGCCUACACCGUGGAUCCGGCCACGCGGUAUCCGAACCUGAACAGGGAGUCGGUCAACAGCUGGCAGGUCAAGCAUCUGGUCGACACGGACGACCCGUCCAUUCUGGAGCAGACCUUCAUGGACACGCACGCUCUGCAGACGCCGCAUUUGGACACACCGGGCCGACGCAAGCGACGCAGUGGAGACUUGCUGCCCCAGGGUGCCACGUUGCUGAGAUGGAUAAGCGCCCAGCUGCAUUCCUAUCAGUUUAUUCCCGAACUCAAGGAGGCUUCGGAUGUGUUUCGGAAUGGACGCGUUCUGUGUGCGCUUAUUAAUCGCUAUCGUCCCGAUCUCAUCGACUACGCUGCCACCAAGGACAUGAGUCCCGUGGAGUGCAAUGAGCUGUCAUUCGCCGUCCUAGAGCGCGAACUCCACAUCGAUCGCGUCAUGAGUGCCAAGCAGUCGCUGGACUUGACCGAGCUGGAGUCGCGAAUCUGGCUCAACUAUUUGGACCAGAUCUGUGACUUGUUCCGCGGCGAGAUCCCCCAUAUCAAGCACCCCAAGAUGGACUUUAGCGAUUUGCGCCAGAAGUAUCGUAUCAACCAUACGCACGCCCAACCCGACUUCUCCAAGCUGCUGGCAACGAAACCCAAGGCCAAGUCGCCGAUGCAGGAUGCUGUGGACAUACCCACGACAGUGCAGCGACGCUCGGUGCUGGAGGAGGAGCGAGCCAAGCGGCAGCGUCGCCACGAGCAGCUUCUCAACAUCGGUGGAGGGGCAGCAGCAGGUGCCGCCGCCGGAGUUGCCGGAAGCGGGACGGGAACCACAACGCAGGGUCAAAACGACACGCCACGCCGGUCGAAGAAGCGCCGCCAGGUCGACAAAACCGCCAAUAUUGAGGAGCGCCAGCAGCGCUUGCAGGAGAUCGAGGAGAAUCGGCAGGAGCGGAUGAGCAAGCGGCGCCAGCAGCGCUACCACCAGACGCAGAAUUUCUACAAGAGCCUUCAGCUCCUGCAGGCUGGCAAACUUUUGAGGGAGGGUGGUGAGGCGGGGGUUGCCGAGGAUGGCACCCCCUUCGAGGACUACUCGAUAUUCCUCUACCGCCAGCAGGCGCCCGUCUUCAAUGAUCGCGUCAAGGACCUCGAGCGAAAGCUUCUGUUUCCCGAUCGAGAACGGGGAGAUAUUCCGUCGGCAUUGCCGCGCACGGCGGACGAGCAGUUCAGCGAUCGCAUAAAGAACAUGGAGCAGCGGAUGACGGGACGUGGUGGCCUUGGUGGUGACAAGAAGCCCAAGGAUCUUAUGCGGGCUAUCGGCAAGAUCGACUCGAACGACUGGAAUGUACGCGAGAUCGAGAAGAAGAUCGAGCUCUCGAAGAAGACGGAGAUCCACGGGCCGAAGGGCCGCGAAAAGGUGCCCAAGUGGAGCAAGGAGCAGUUCCAGGCACGACAGCACAAGAUGUCCAAGCCGCAACGUCAGGAUUCGCGCGAGGCGGAAAAGUUCAAGGACAUCGACCAGACUAUCCGCAACUUGGACAAGCAGCUAAAGGAGGGCCACAAUCUGGAUGUGGGCGAGCGGGGUCGCAACAAGGUGGCCUCCAUUGCCGGUCAGUUUGGCAAAAAGGAUGAGGCCAAUUCGGAUGAGAAGAACGCGGGCAGCAGCAAUGCCACCACCAACACCAACAACACAGUCAUACCCAAAUCUAGUUCCAAGGUGGCGCUGGCCUUCAAAAAGCAGGCUGCCUCCGAAAAGUGCCGCUUCUGUAAGCAAACCGUCUACCUGAUGGAGAAGACCACCGUGGAGGGAUUGGUUCUGCAUCGCAAUUGCCUUAAGUGCCACCACUGCCACACCAACUUGCGUCUGGGAGGCUACGCCUUUGAUCGGGACGAUCCGCAGGGCCGAUUUUACUGCACCCAGCACUUCCGGUUGCCCCCCAAACCGCUGCCGCAGCGCACCAACAAAGCCAGGAAAUCCGCUGCCGCUCAACCCGCCUCGCCUGCUGUACCACCAACUGCAGGAUCCGCACCCACUGCAGCUGCCACAGCUGAGCAAAUGGACACCACUCCACCCAGGGACCAGGUGGAUCUACUGGAGACCUCGCGAGCAAAUGCCUCUGCCGAUGCCAUGUCCGAUGAUGAAGCCAAUGUUAUCGAUGAGCACGAAUGGUCUGGUCGCAACUUCUUGCCCGAGUCCAACAACGAUUCCCAAUCAGAGCUAUCCAGUUCAGAUGAAUCGGACACGGAAUCGGAUUCGGAGAUGUUUGAGGAGGCGGAUGAUUCGCCGUUUGGUGCUCAGACCCUCCAGCUGGCGUCGGAUUGGAUCGGGAAGCAGUACUGUGAGGACAGUGAUGAUUCUGACGAUUUCUACGACUCAAGUGAAGGUAUUGCGGAUGAUGGUAAAGAUGACACCGAGGGUGAGGAAUUCAAGAAGGCCCGCGAAUUGAGACGCCAGGAGGUUCGCCUGCAGCCGUUGCCCGCCAAUCUGCCCACAGAUACGGAGACCGAGGUUCAAACCGAGUCCGAGAGCACAUCACCCGACGAAGUGGAGCUCAAUUCUGCCACUGAGAUAUCCACCGACUCCGAGUUUGACAACGAUGAGAUUAUACGCCAGGCGCCCAAAAUCUUCAUCGAUGACACCCAUCUAAGGAAGCCCACCAAGGUUCAGAUCAAGUCCACCAUGAUCGGACCCAAUGCAGCUUCCGCCGGACUCCAUCAGAAGCAGUUGGCGGCGCGGGAGAAGGGCGGCAGCUACCUCCAGAAGUACCAACCCCAACCGCCACUGCCACAGUUCAAGCCGUUGGUCCAGGUGGAUCCCACUCUGCUCAUUGGCAGCCAGCGCGCUCCUCUUCAGAAUCCACGACCAGGAGACUACUUGCUAAACAAGACAGCUAGUACGGAGGGUAUCGCCUCCAAAAAGAGCCUAGAGCUAAAAAAGCGCUAUCUGCUGGGUGAGCCGGCCAAUGGCAAUAAGAUCCAGAAGUCCGGAUCCACUUCAGUGCUGGACUCCCGCAUUCGCAGCUUCCAGUCGAACAUAUCGGAGUGCCAGAAGCUUCUGAAUCCCAGCAGCGACAUCAGUGCCGGCAUGCGAACCUUCCUCGAUCGCACAAAGUUGGGCGAGGGCAGCCAGACGACACCCGGACAGACGAACGAACUUAUCCGUUCCGCCACCAGCAAUGUGAUUAACGAUCUGCGCGUGGAGCUUCGGAUACAGAAAACUGGCUCCAGCCACUCCACGGACAACGAGAAGGAAAACGUGUUCGUGAACUGUAAGAACGAACUGAACAAAGGGAUGGAAUACACAGAUGCGGUCAAUGCCACGCUGCUGGACCAGCUGGCCAGAAAAAGUUCGCCCACCACGCCGACGAAUAAGACGGUGGUCGAGGUUAUUGACCUGGUGACACCUGAGAAGCCAAUCGACAUUAUCGAUCUAACGGCACUGGAAACGCCCAAAAAGCAGUUGGUCGAUGGUAGCGCCAUGGAUGUGGAUGAACGCCUCACACCCGAUAGUAACAAAAUCAGCGAACUGCAGCAGGAAGUGAAGGAGGAACCCAAGCCGGAUGUCUCUAGGGAUGUGAAGGAAUGCAUACCAGAUAUACUGGGACACAUUAAGGAGGGAACGGGAGCGAAGGAGCCAGGUGGAGAGGACCAACAGAGCCUGCUGGAGCAGUCGGACGAAGAGAAGCGCGACUCACCGGAGAAGGAUGUUGCCGAACAUGAGCUUUAUGAACCGGACAGUGUGCAGAUCCAGGUGCCCAAUAUCCCAUGGGAGAAGAGCAAGCCGGAGGUCAUGUCUACCACCGGCAGCAGUGGCUCCAUGUGCUCAAGCUCAGACUCUUCUAGCAUUGAAGACAUCCAGCACUACAUUUUGGAGUCCACAACCAGUCCGGAUACUCAGACAAUUGGCGGAAAGCACAAUGUGCCCCGUUUGGAGGUGCACGACACAAGUGGUGCCCUGAUGCAGGUGGACAGCCUAAUGAUUGUGAACGGAAAGUAUAUUGGGGAUCCUGAGGAUGUCAAGUUCUUGGAUAUGCCCGCCAAUGUUAUUGUUCCGCCAGCACCGGCGCUUAAAACGAAUGAGCUGGAUAUGGAGGAUGACCAAGAGGUGGAGGCGGAACCAGUAACCGCUACUCCGGAGCCGGUGGAGUGUACGGUCAUCGAGGCGGAGCGCCGUGUUACUGCUCCCCCUCCUUUGCCAGAGAUGGGUCCACCUAAAUUGAAGUUCGACAGCAAAAAUGAGAACAAGAUCGAGAGCUUGAAGAAUCUUCCGUUGAUCGUAGAAAGCAAUGUGGAGCACAGUCAGGCAGUGAAACCCAUUACGCUUAACUUAGGCAAUCUGGCUAGGACGCCAGAUACUCCGACCACGCCUACAGCGCACGAUAGCGAUAAAACACCCACUGGGGAAAUUCUCUCUCGAGGAUCUGACUCAGAAACCGAGCACACUGGCACUGGUCAGGUACUAACGGAGACGGAACUCUCCGACUGGACGGCCGACGACUGCAUAUCGGAGAACUUUGUUGACUUGGAGUUCGUGCUUAACUCUAACAAGGGUACAAUAAAACGACGCAAGGAUCGACGACGCAGUGGAGCAAACAAACUUCCCAGUGGCAACGAGGUAAUCCACGAGCUGGCCAGGCAGGCGCCAGUGGUGCAGAUGGAUGGAAUACUUAGUGCCAUCGACAUUGAUGACAUAGAGUUCAUGGACACGGGUUCCGAGGGUUCUUGUGCUGAAGCUUAUUCCGCAACAAAUACAGCUCUCAUUCAGAAUAGAGGUUACAUGGAGUACAUCGAGGCGGAGCCCAAGAAGACGACCCGUAAGGCAGCUCCACCAUCCAGUUACCCAGGAAAUUUACCGCCUUUAAUGACGAAGCGGGACGAGAAACUGGGCGUUGAUUACAUUGAGCAGGGGGCGUACAUAAUGCACGAUGAUGCAAAGACGCCUGUGAAUGAGGUGGCUCCUGCCAUGACCCAGUCGCUGACUGACUCAAGCACGCUAAAUGAACUGGAUGAUGACAGUAUGAUAAUAUCCCAGACCCAGCCAACGACAACGGAGGAAAGUGAGGCACUGACGGUGGUCACCAGUCCACUUGACACGUCCUCGCCCAGGGUUCUCGAUCAAUUUGCCUCUAUGUUGGCGGCGGGAAAAGGGGACUCCACACCCAGUAGCUCAGAGCAACAACCAAAGACGUCUACGGUGACGAGCAGCAGCACUGGGCCCAACUCCUCGACACCAGGGAACGUCUCGAAGGAGCCGCAGGAAGAGGACCUGCAGAUCCAGUUUGAGUAUGUUCGAGCACUGCAGCAGCGGAUAUCGCAGAUCAGCACCCAACGGCGUAAGAGCUCUAAGGGAGAGGCACCUAACCUGCAGCUAAACAGUAGCGCACCUGUGAUAGAAUCAGCCGAGGAUCCGGUCAAGCCCGCAGAGGAGCCGCUGGUCUCAAUGCGACCGCGGACCACCAGCAUUUCCGGAAAGGUACCUGAGAUACCCACACUUAGCAGCAAGCUGGAAGAGAUAACCAAAGAACGCACCAAGCAAAAGGAUCUGAUUCACGACCUAGUCAUGGACAAGUUGCAGUCGAAGAAGCAGCUAAACGCUGAGAAGCGUCUGCACCGGAGUCGACAGCGCAGUUUGCUGACCAGUGGCUAUGCCAGUGGCUCCAGCCUGAGUCCGACGCCCAAGCUGGCGGCUGCUUGCAGUCCGCAGGAUUCCAACUGCUCUAGCCAAGCGCACUACCACGCCUCCACGGCGGAGGAGGGACCAAAGCCGCCAGCGGAGAGGCCGUUGCAGAAGUCCGCCACGUCCACCUAUGUGUCGCCUUAUCGCACUGUCCAGGCGCCCACACGAAGUGCUGAUCUCUAUAAGCCGCGCCCCUUCAGCGAACACAUCGAUUCGAACGCUCUGGCGGGUUACAAGCUCGGCAAGACGGCCUCGUUUAAUGGCGGCAAGUUGGGCGACUUUGCGAAACCCAUUGCCCCGGCGAGAGUUAACCGAGGAGGAGGUGUCGCGACCGCGGAUAUAGCCAAUAUUUCCGCGUCGACGGAGAACCUAAGGAGCGAGGCCAGGGCCAGGGCUCGUCUUAAGUCUAACACAGAACUGGGCCUUAGUCCCGAGGAAAAGAUGCAGCUAAUACGUUCACGAUUGCACUACGACCAAAACAGAUCCCUGAAGCCGAAGCAACUGGAGGAGAUGCCAUCCGGGGAUCUGGCGGCACGUGCCCGCAAAAUGAGUGCCUCCAAGAGCGUCAAUGAUCUAGCCUACAUGGUGGGACAGCAGCAGCAGCAGCAGGUUGAGAAGGAUGCCGUGCUCCAGGCCAAGGCGGCUGACUUUACAUCCGAUCCCAAUUUGGCGUCCGGUGGGCAGGAGAAGGCAGGCAAAACGAAGUCUGGACGCAGGCCAAAGGAUCCGGAGCGGCGUAAGAGUCUCAUACAGUCGUUGUCCAGCUUCUUCCAAAAGGGGUCUGGAUCCGCAGCCUCUAGUUCCAAGGAGCAGGGCGGCGCUGUAGCUGCCGGCCACUCUGAACAGUCAGAGCGACCCGGCACCAGCAGCAGCGGCACGCCCACAAUCUCGGAUGCGGCGGGUGGAGGCGGAGGAGGAGGUGGCGUCUUCAGCAGAUUCCGCAUCUCGCCCAAGUCCAAGGAGAAGUCAAAGAUGAGAGCUACGCUAACGAGACACGAGAGCAUAAGAAGCAACGUGCCAUAUCGAAGGCUUCACGACAAGCUGAGCUCAAGCGAUUGCGAAUCGCUCAAGAGAUUCAGCGGGAACAGGAGGAGAUCGAGGUGCAACUGAAGGAUCUGGAGGCACGCGGCGUGCUAAUUGAGAAGGCCUUGCGAGGCGAGGCGCAAAAUAUAGAAAACCUGGAUGCGACAAAGGACAACGACGAGAAGCUACUUAAGGAACUUUUGGAGAUUUGGCGCAACAUCACAGCACUCAA
rnacentral:misc_RNA from 13 species